AGGAUCUCACUGAGUUGCCCAGGCUGGCCUUGAACUUGUGAUCCUCCUGCUUUGGCCUCCUGAGUAGCUGGGAUUACAGGCAGGCGCCACCCUUGUCUAGCUCCAUGCGAUUUGCAUUUUGAGAAGAUCAUUCUAGAUGCAGCAUGGAGGACAACCCCAACUAGAGCAUGAGUAGAUGGGCAAUCCAGGAAGGCGCUGUUGGAAUAGUCCAGGCUGAGGAUGCUGGGAGGUGAGACAAGAUGGGGAGAGGCCAUGAAGACACAUGGAAGAUCAAGGCAGGAGUCUGUUCAGGUUGAGGAGCGCAGGAGAGGAGCUUCCGGGGAGGGCUCCCAGGUUUCUGGCAUGUGGAGCCGGUAGUGCCGUCCACUGGAGGGAUGCUGCAAGGGGGCCAGGCUGCACAGGGAUCAGGUCUCAGUGAGAUGCCCUCUGAGGCAUCUGUGUGAAGAUCCUAAGUGGGCCCCUGGAUGAUAAGAGAGGUCAGAGGGAUGGCAUUUAAUGGUCUGGAACCACAGCCGGAAAAAAAAGGGCGGGUAGGAAGAAGGUCCAGAAGGGAGCCUGGAGGAGUUUCAGUGUUAAAAAAACCAAAGACAGGUGGCUAUGUGCACCAGGAGCCUUAGAGAGGACAGCUUGAGAGGCAGGGGGACAUCAGGAGAGUGGGGGAUUUGGAAACCAAGGGGAAACAGUGUUGAGGGGAGCGGAACGCGUCAAGAAGUGCUGUUCCGACUGAAUGGGACAAGGGGAUGCUGCAGGAAUGUUGGGAUCAUUCCCAGAUGGAACAUCAGGAAGGGCUGCUUUGGAACUGUCCCUAAUCCUAAAAGGAUAGAUCUGACUUCACCAAGUAAAGCAAGAGGAUAUGCCAGGUUGGGGGAAAUGCCACAAAAGAAAUGUUAUAUUUACAUUAUAUUUAUUAUAAUAACCUCAUCUUGUGAGAACUCUUCCAUUCCCAAGUAAAUUAAUCUAGUCUGUCAAGAAAGACAUCAGAGGCUGGGCGCGGUGGUGCAUGCCUGUAAUCCCAGCGGCUCAGGAGGCUGAGACAGGAGGAUUGUGAGUUCAAAGUCAGCCUCAGCAAAAGGGAGGCACUAAGCAACUCAGUGAGACCCUGUCUCUAAAUAAAAUACAAAAUAGAGCUGAGGAUGUGGCUCAGUGGUCGAGUGUCCCUUGAGUUCAAUCCAUGGUAAUCCCCUGUUAGGUGCAGGAAGGUUGAACUAAGUUGUCUGCAGGGCAGGCUGAACGAAUGUCAGCUGCAGGAUAACCCAUGUACUCAAACCCCUCUCUGUCUGGUCCUUUAUCACCUGUUUGCAUCAAAUCUGAACACUCAACCUCACUCAAGGCUGAGCACUCGACCCCCACAGG
rnacentral:lncRNA from 1 species